UAAUGUUUCAUGGGACUCUGUUGGAUCUAAAAUCUCUGCUCAGUACCAAAAACCCUGCAAUAUUUGAAUAAAUUACUUUGGCAGUGUUCUACUUUAAAUUAUUGGACAAUUUGGAGAGAGUGACUUGACUUCAGACAAUUGCUUAACAUUAACUUUUGAGUCCAGUGCUUGUUUGUCCUUUUCAAACAUCUUGCACAUCAGCUAUUUUUUCUGGAAUGCUGGAGAAUUGAACCCUGCCACCGGUCUUCUAUGAACAUCACAGUCAUGUAUCAAUUGGUUGGAUGAGAAAAAGAAUCGUUUACGUAUCAAUCUUGUUGACCAAUUGUGAUUGAAUUUGCUUGGGUUCCUCAAUGGUUGUUUGGUUAAAAAGCAAACCAGCCAUUUGUUCAGCCAAUGGCAGGAUGAUGAAUACUUCAACUGAAGUGUUUGGUUUGGCCUUUAAACUCUUCAGCACUCCAUUCCUGCCUUCAAUAUUUUUAUUUCUCCAGUGGUUUAAACUAAUUUGGACAGAAUGCCAUUGACAUGCCUUCAACAAAGGGCAAUGUUCGAGCCUCCUUCCCAAUGUGAAUCAAUGAGCUCUGGUGAGGAAGGGCUUUAGAGAGCUCACCGCCCUGAUUUUUGAGAGGUCAUAUGUAUUUUAUUUCCUUCUCCUCCUGUAAAUCGCUUGGUGCUCGACAUAGGAUUCACUAAUUAGACAUUUACACAUAACCACUUUAAAAUUAAAAUGGUUCACCAUCGAGGCUAUGCCAACAAUACCAGCCACAGGUAGAAGAGAAAAUCAUCUGAGUUCUUUGUCUAAGUUUGUUUCUAAAAAUAGUGUUCAGUAAAUGUUUUCAAUGUUCUUACAUUUGUUUUAAAUUAAAAAACUUAAAUUGCAA